UACGUAGGGUGCAAGCGUUAAUCGGAAUUACUGGGCGUAAAGCGUGCGCAGGCGGUUCGCUAAGACCGAUGUGAAAUCCCCGGGCUUAACCUGGGAACUGCAUUGGUGACUGGCGGGCUAGAGUAUGGCAGAGGGGGGUAGAAUUCCACGUGUAGCAGUGAAAUGCGUAGAGAUGUGGAGGAAUACCGAUGGCGAAGGCAGCCCCCUGGGUCAAGAUUGACGCUCAUGCACGAAAGCGUGGGGAGCGAACCGG
rnacentral:rRNA from 1 species